UAGACGCUAAUCCAAAACCUGAGUGGUUGACAUAUCAAGUGAGAGAUGCUUUAUAUUAUUGUUGAGCUGCUUAAAAUAAAUCAAAAGUAAUUGUAACUGCAGGUAAAGCUACCUGGCAUCCAUGCUCUGAUUUCAUCAUUGCCUCAAAUAGGCAGAAGUCUGGUAGCUCAGUAGCAUUGUAGGGAAUUUCCUGUACCCACUGCAGAAGUAACAACUCAGGACUCUAACCUGAAGUCUAAGAAACAUUGAACCAUAUGUAGCUUACAGGCAUUCAAGGAGGUGUAGAUGUCUACACUGAGCUUUUGAUAAUCGCCACAGAAAAGCUUUCUAACACUUUCUUCUCUGGUGAAGCAUGAAGGAGAGACUUAGGUCGGGCUGACCAUAGCAGUAGUUUGGAUUACACAUGGCGGACCAAAAGGGGGCACAAUAUACUGGUCUCACUGUGGAUAGGAUGACUCCGACUAUGUGAAGAAAUAAAGAAACCACACUCCGUUAACUUCUACAUAGCAUACAAAAUGAAGGACACAAAUGUGCAGUCGUGCACCAGAAUAGACAACUUGAAGAUGUUUAUGACAAAACGAAUGAGAAGAGUAGCAAUGAAACAAAUACCUUUUUCUCUUAGGUAUGUAGAUUGAUCUCGAUGCUAGUGAAUGUAUGUUAUGAUACAGUAGCUCCAAAAGUGCUUUAGUGCGGUAUAAGCAAAACCUGUUUUUGUUUUUUCCCGUUUGCCAUGUCUUUUCAAACAUUUGUUAUGGCGUACAUUUGAUUUAAAAAAAGGAAUUGUAAAUAUUUGUUUGGCUCAGAAUUCAAUGUGUAAAUUUGAUACAUAUCUGAAUUUUGAGGAAAAUGGCUAAUUUCUUGCCUGUUUGGACUGUUAACUCUAGAUAAACCAUCUCCAGUUUGCCUUGUUUUUUCGGUCUGCGGAUGUUUUGCAGAACAGUUAUUCAGAGAUCAUUUCAUUAUGUCACAAGUGUGAUGUACAAAGAAUACUUCCAAGCUAUGUCAUGGCUAUUUUUAUUAUUUUUUUGACAAUAUUGACUGAAUUGAAAUAAACGUAUUGGCACUUGACUUUGGCUUUUAUAUAAAGUUGUAAGUGUUUCGACAGGUUGGGUUGCUUUUGGCCCUCAUUUUUAGUUACCGCUUUCAUGUUUUUACAAUACUACUCAUAACCCAUGCCAAUAUUGUUUACCAAUCGGAACAAGUUCUCCCUUCAAUUUUAAAACAAAAAUGGUGAAUGACCAAUAUGUUAAUGAGUAUACUAGUGAAAAACUUUGACCCAAGUCAUCAUGUAUGUUGUCAUCAGUCCAGUAGCGCAUAACCAGUCUUUUAUCUGUAGUAUUUAACUUCUGUACAGUAUUCCUCCUUGAUUCGGAAAUAGUUGGACAAAAAUAAUUCUCAAUAUGGAAUCCAACCUACUUGCUUUUCAAUCUUGUGGCUCUCCGUAGGUUUAAUGGAGAUGAUAAAUGAAUAACAUCACCUGGUUGGAGUAUUUGUAUUUGUCAAAAUUCUUUAAGGUUAAUUUAAUGCCCUAUUGUAAUGGUCCGAACCCUGAAACAGAAUCAACAUUUAUAAUGUCGUUUGGAUUUGUUCACACUGUCUAGAAAAAGAAGCAGAUCUGUGUCAGUUCUUUCAGGGAACAGCCCUCUUAAGUCCAGUUUACCUGCAGAGUAAACACAUGGAGGACACCACAGAGGGGUCCAGGGACCUUGAAGGACCUUAAGCUCUCCCGCAAACAGGA